AAAAAAAACAAACUCUGGUUUCCGUGCCUAAUGUUUAACCGUUCGUCUUAUUUAAAAAAUUUAUGAAAAAAAUUAAAAAGACAAGUCAUGCAUAAAAUAUUAAUUAUGUUUUAUCAUCUAACAACAAUAAAAAUAUGAAUUAUAAAAAAAUUUCAUAUAAGAGGGACAAUUAAAGUUGGACACGGAAAUCUAAAGUUUGUCUUUUU
rfam:Oryza barthii chromosome 1, whole genome shotgun sequence.